rnacentral:rRNA from 1 species
GGUGGGGUGACUGCGUACCUUUUGUAUAAUGGGUCAGCGACUUAUAUUCUGUAGCAAGGUUAACCGAAUAGGGGAGCCGGAGGGAAACCGAGUCUUAACCGGGCGUUAAGUUGCAGGGUAUAGACCCGAAACCCGGUGAUCUAGCCAUGGGCAGGUUGAAGGUUGGGUAACACUAACUGGAGGACCGAACCGACUAAUGUUGAAAAAUUAGCGGAUGACCUGUGGCUGGGGGUGAAAGGCCAAUCAAACCGGGAGAUAGCUGGUUCUCCCCGAAAGCUAUUUAGGUAGCGCCUCGUGAAUUCAUCUCCGGGGGUAGAGCACUGUUUCGGCUAGGGGGCCAUCCCGGCUUACCAACCCGAUGCAAACUGCGAAUACCGGAGAAUGUUAUCACGGGAGACACACGGCGGGUGCUAACGUCCGUCGUGAAGAGGGAAACAACCCAGACCGCCAGCUAAGGUCCCAAAGUCAUGGUUAAGUGGGAAACGAUGUGGGAAGGCCCAGACAGCCAGGAUGUUGGCUUAGAAGCAGCCAUCAUUUAAAGAAAGCGUAAUAGCUCACUGGUCGAGUCGGCCUGCGCGGAAGAUGUAACGGGGCUAAACCAU